CCGUCACAGCCGGGCGCGGAGCGGCGUUCAGGUGUCUCCGUGAGGUGGCUGCAGCCCCAGCGGGGGUCGGUCGGGAUCCCAGCCGACCAGAUUGCGCAAUAAACUGGCGGGUUCUCCGGCCCUUUCUCCCAGGCUCGGGGCUGCUGGAGCGGAGAGAGCCCCGGGGAGGAGGGAGCCGCGCGUUCCCCUUGGAUCUGUGGGGAGGCCGGCGGGGGUGAAGCGGGCCCUGCCUCAGUUUCCCUCCCUGUCAGUAGCUACAGGAGAGAUUUGGGCAGCGGUGCCAGUCAGAGGAGGCUCGCACGGCGUUGGGAGGGAAGGUCCUCCGCAGUAUUUUGCACCUCCCUUGGGUGCCAGAAGAUUGGAGCCAAAAUGCUAGCCACGUAACUACUGCAGUGGCUAAGGACUAUGAAGCCUGUAAAGUUCAAUAAAAUGAGUAAAUGUUGAGUAGUUGUUAAUCAUAUUUUUUCAUUAAUGCCUGGUAGUUUGCAACUCAAAAUUGAAGGGCAGUCAAUUAGUAACUUUUCUUGCCCAGGAAAUCAAGGUGUUUAGACUCCUUCUUAAGAGACGGUCUGGAGUGUGCUUGAUGGUUUCUUUUGUGGACUUCAGGGAGUUGGAGUAACACUUCUCCCAUCCAACCCCCAUUCUCUUGGCUGGAAUGUAAUAUUUUUUGUUUGUCCAUUUGCAAGGGGCAAAAUAGUGGCAAGUAUCUGCCAUAGAGCAUGAGCUGGUGCCUCACUGAUGGGUAGGGAGGGAGAUCUUACCCUGAAGGUUAAUGUAUAAAUUGUCCACCAGGGAAUGUUGAGACUCCUGGACUUCUCCAAUGGAAUCUGGAGGGAUUUAGCUAGAUACCCCAGUAAGUUCUGGAAGACCCUAAAGUCAUCUGCAUAAGAGGGCAGUGGUGGAAUUACUACCUUAUUGGGGAAGAGAAGGACUUGGCUGAAGCUGGAGAUUCUUCUUUGUUCAGUGGGUCUCGCUCUUCUUGGGCUCUUCAGGUACAGAGGGAACAUGUGGUACCAGCAAGCAAUCUUGGGAUGGCAGGAGCCAUUGCACUACUGACAGGUGUUUCUUCCAUGCAGGUACCCUAUAAAAUUGGUAGCCGUAAUGUGUCCAGGGGGUCCAGUAGGCCCAUUGUGCAGGUGGAUAGGGGAAGAGUCCCCGAGGGUAUUUGUGACCAGAGAACCUAGGACAUUUGCUGGUCUCUGAAAAGUCCUCAGGGUUCAUCCAUAGAGGAAUGUGGUGACACAGUGCUGAAACAGAGCCCUGUACAAAAAUCUCAAAGUGAGGAUGUCAUCCCCUCAAGUUGAAAAGAGGGGCUUCGAGCAUCAGUGCCGGUACAGGAGGCAAUGGAUCAGAUCCUGUUCUGGUGGGAAAGAGUUCAAUUACCAAUUGUCAAAGUGGUAUUAGUGAAGGGGCUCUUAUGGUAUCCUUAGAGAAGAGACUGGUUCCCCAGAUAAGAUACUUUAGAGGAAAGGAAUCUGGAGGACCAUGUUAAUGAGCAGUAGAAGCCAGAGGUGGUACUGGGCCUUGGAACAGGGAUUCAUGCAGGAGUGAGGCUGCUGCUUGCAGUACCGGAGGAGCAGACAAGAAUGUUUCUCUGCUCGGAGUGCUGAUGUCCCAAGGAGGACAGUAUCAGAGAGGGAGUCUCUCUUGGUCUUUGUGGCCUCUAUGGCUUUGAGGGGAUGAGCCCCUGAGGUAGUCUUAGAGUCCCUGAUUUUAGAUGCAUCUUGGUGCCAGAUGGUUCUGAGAUAAACAGCACUGAAAGGCCCCUAACUGAAGACCUCUCUGAUUGGGACUUCUUAGGUGGUACCAGUAUCUGUCAGAGCCUUGACUGUACUCAUUGUGGGUACAUAGAUCCUGAGAGUUGGCCCUGUGAGGUGACUUACCACUCUUUCUAGAGUCUGUAGUAGGAGUCUUUUAGAGAAUUUCAUCUCUGGAGCUGCCCCUGGAACUCCCGAAGUCCCUGGAAUGGCCUGAAACAUUGAGGCCAAUGUACCGGGGGUGCAAAGUUUGCACAGGGUUUAAAGGAAGGUCUUGCAAAGAUAGAAAGGCUAGACUUUCUUGCAUCUGAAGAAGUGAGGUUCUUACCCACGAAAGCUUAUGCUCCCAAUACUUCUGUUACUCUUAAAGGUGCCACAGGACCCUCUGUUGCUUUUUAAAGGCUAGGCUGACACUCCUCGUAACAGAGCUCUCCUUAGCUCUAGCAGGAACUGUUUGGAUGGAACAUGAGUUUCUCUGAGACAUGGGAGAGGGCUAGAGUGGCUUUUGCUACAGGGAAAAGACCUGUGGCAGGUCUGGUAGGGCUUGAACCCCAGGGUCUUAGGCAUAACCCGGGUAAUGCUAUAGACCACAAAGUGUGAGUGAGGCAACUAGUUCAGACAGGUGGGAGGAUGGGGAAAGACCCCAAGCACAAGUUAAAUAAGGAACGAAAAUAAGGAAGGCAGGGAGUGGCUGAAAGUCAACUGUAAACUGAGCAUUGUCAUUGAGCUGGUGUGUUUCCAGUGGGAUCCCUCGGGGAUCAGUUCCUGGUCCCACACUAUUUAACACUUUUAUCAAUGACCUCAUGAAAACAAAAUCAUCACUGAUAAAGUUUACAGAUGACCCAAAUAUAAGGGGAGUGAUAAAUAAUGAAGAGGACAGGUCAAUGAUAGAGUGAGCUGGAUCGCUAGGUAAGCUAGAUGCAAGCAAACAAUAUACAUUUUAAUGUAUUAAAAUGCAUCAACUAGGAGCAAAGAACAUAGGCCAUACGUACAGGGUGGGGGAUUUUAUCCUGGGAAGCAGUGACUCUGGAAAAGAUUUGGUGGUUAUGAAUAAUCCGCUGAAGGUGCACUAAGUGCAACACUGUGACCAAAAGGGUUAAUGUGAUUAUUGGAUGCAUAAA